UUGCAAUACACGAAAGUGUGACAGGGUCAUCCCGAGUGCCGACCGCUGAGGUUGGCUUUUACCCAGUCUAGAAAGCUGGGGGAAUAAGGAGAGGGCAAGUCUGGUGUCAGCCGCCGCGGUAAUACCAGCUCUCCGAGUGGUGUGGACGUUUAUUGGGCCUAAAGCAUCCGUAGCUGGCUGAGCAAGUCCCUUGUUAAACCCACCGAUUUAAUCGUUGGCGUGCGGGGGAUACUGCUCGGCUAGGGGACGAGAGAGGCAGACGGUAUUCCCGGGGUAGGGGUGAAAUCCUAUAAUCCCGAGAAGACCACCAGUGGCGAAGGCUGUCUGCUAGAACGCGCCCGACGGUGAGGGAUGAAAGCUGGGGGAGCGAACCGG
rnacentral:rRNA from 1 species